rnacentral:rRNA from 1 species
GACGAACGCUGGCGGCGUGCUUAACACAUGCAAGUCGAACGGAGCGAAUGAAAGCUUGCUUUUAUAAACUUAGUGGCAAACGGGUGAGUAACACGUAGGCAACCUGCCGACAGGAUGGGGACAACAUUCCGAAAGGAAUGCUAAUACCGAAUGAAGUCAGAGAAGGGCAUCCUUUUCUGAUGAAAGAUGGCCUCUGAAUAUGCUAUCACCUGUCGAUGGGCCUGCGUCUGAUUAGCUGGUAGGUGAGGUAACGGCUCACCUAGGCGACGAUCAGUAGCCGGUCUGAGAGGAUGAACGGCCACAUUGGGACUGAGACACGGCCCAGACUCCUACGGGAGGCAGCAGUGGGGAAUCUUCCGCAAUGGGCGCAAGCCUGACGGAGCAACGCCGCGUGAGUGAAGAAGGUCUUCGGAUCGUAAAGCUCUGUUGAUGGGGACGAACGUGCCUAAUGCGAAUAGUUUUAGGCAA